GACGUAGGGCGCGAGCGUUGUCCGGAUUUAUUGGGCGUAAAGCGCGUGUAGGCGGCCAGGUAGGUCCGCUGUGAAAACCCGAGGCUCAACCUCGGGACGUCGGCGGAAACCAUUUGGCUAGAGUCCGGAAGAGGAGAGUGGAAUUCCCGGUGUAGCGGUGAAAUGCGCAGAUAUCGGGAAGAACACCCGUAGCGAAGGCGGCACUCUGGGCCGGAACUGACGCUGAGGAGCGAAAGCGUGGGGAGCAAACAGG
rnacentral:rRNA from 1 species